GUCCCGGUAGCUCAGUUGGUUAGAGCGCGUGGCUGUUAACCAUGAGGUCGCUGGUUCGAGUCCAGUCCGGGACG
rnacentral:tRNA from 1 species